rnacentral:lncRNA from 1 species
UUGAAUUUUAAUAUUGUUUUUACAAAUCAUAAUGACCUGAAAUUAUGUAGGUGUGUGCACCUUAGUGAGAUGCACAUGAAUAAAAUAUAAAACAAAUAAUUUGAAUGAUAAAAAUUAUGCAAAAUACCCUAAUAAAGUUUUAAGAGUAAUUUAAUCAUUUUAUUAUAUGACAUAACUUUUUAAAUAUUUUAUUUUGGUGCGACUUGGUCAUAUGUACACACGCCUUAAAUUUUAGAUAAAUCUGAUGAGUACAAUAAUUAUAAAAAUUCAAGUACUAUCGGACAACUGUGAUCGUGUGAUGAACUUUGAAUGGUAAUGAGCUGUAGGUGAAGUAUUGUAGAACUUCACCUAUAGGCAUUUUAUAUAUAUAUAUAUAUAAGCUUGUAUAAGGUUGCAACCUUAAAAUGUAUUGAGAAAGGUUUAUAUGCUUCCCCUACAACAAGAAGUUCUAUCCUCCCCUUAGUAUC